AAGCUCGUAGUUGAAUUUCGGGCCUGGCUGGACGGUCCGCCCUUCGGGUGAGUACUGUCUGUGGUCGGGUCCUACCUUCUGGCGAAGCGUCAUGGCCUUAACCGGCCGUGGCGGGGAACCAGGACUUUUACUGUGAAAAAAUUAGAGUGUUCAAAGCAGGCAAAUCGCUUGGAUACAUUAGCAUGGAAUAAUGGAAUAGGACAAUGGUUCUAUUUGUUGGUUUCUAGGACCGUUGUAAUGAUUAAUAGGGAUAGUUGGG
rnacentral:rRNA from 1 species